GGUAGGCCGUGUUUGGUUCAGGGUGGUGGUUAUGUUUGGAGGCCUGGUUAAGGGCGGGAUGUUGGUUAUGUUGGGAGGCCGUGUUUGGUUCAGGGUGGUGGUUAUGUUUCGAGGCCGUGUUAGGGGCGGGAUGUUGGUUAUGUUGGGAGGCCGUGUUUGGUUCAGGGUGGUGGUUAUGUUAGGAGGCCGUGUUACGGGUGGGAUGUUGGUUAUGUUGGGAGGCCGUGUUUGGUUCAGGGUGGUGGUUAUGUUAGGAGGCCGUGUUAGGGGGGGGGUGUUCGUUAUGUUGUGAGGUCGUGUUUGGUUCAGGGUGGUGGUUAUGUUAGGAGGCCGUGUUAGGGGCGGGAUGUUGGUUAUGUUGGAAGGCCGUGUUUGGUUCAGGGUGGUGGUUAUGUUUGGAGGCCGUGUUAGGGGCAGGAUGUUGGUUAUGUUGGGAGGCCGUGUUUGGUUCAGGGUGGUGGUUAUGUUAGGAGGCCGUGUUAGGGGCGGGAUGUUGGUUAUGUUGGAAGGCCGUGUUUGGUUCAGGGUGGUGGUUAUGUUUGGAGGCCGUGUUAGGGGCAGGAUGUUGGUUAUGUUGGGAGGGCGUGUCUGGGUUUGGUUUGAGGUCAUGGUGAAAGAUAUCCAGCCUCCUGUGGAGUUGCUACUGCUCAUGGUAUUGUUCCCAUUGACUCCAAUCAUCACGCAUGCUAUCCCCAGGAUAGCCACAUAGAUCCAAUUGCUCCUCAUCAGUUACGUUUAUUUGCUUAUAUAUCUGUUAAUCCUGCAGUUUUUUUUUACCUUGUCUGAGAUGUUCUGGGAGUUUAGGAUCAAUGAUGGAGGUGUCAGAACUUCUCUGGCUUUAACAAUUCACAUUCAGGGUGGGACCUGAAGGGUUG